GAAAGUUUUCCUAUCGUUCAAGUUUUAGUAAGUGUCAAAAGUUGGAUCAACUUCAAUCGACCAUAAAUCCUUGUAUAUGAAGAACUGGGUGGCCUACUAUAUAUAAAAUGAAAUAUUUUGGAUUCCUCUUUCCAAUGACUCUGGUUUUUCUUUAAGCCGGUCUCAGAGUAGAAAGUUCUGCUUAUUUUACUUUGAAGUGUCUGUCUGCCAAAACGUGAUAACGAGGCUGAUGACUUAUCAGCUGUGUGAUGGCCCGUCAACCUG
rnacentral:lncRNA from 1 species